rnacentral:rRNA from 1 species
GCCUGAUCCAGCCAUGCCGCGUGUGUGAAGAAGGCCUUUUGGUUGUAAAGCACUUUAAGCGAGGAGGAGGCUACUAGUAUUAAUACUACUGGAUAGUGGACGUUACUCGCAGAAUAAGCACCGGCUAACUCUGUGCCAGCAGCCGCGGUAAUACAGAGGGUGCGAGCGUUAAUCGGAUUUACUGGGCGUAAAGCGUGCGUAGGCGGCUUUUUAAGUCGGAUGUGAAAUCCCCGAGCUUAACUUGGGAAUUGCAUUCGAUACUGGGAAGCUAGAGUAUGGGAGAGGAUGGUAGAAUUCCAGGUGUAGCGGUGAAAUGCGUAGAGAUCUGGAGGAAUACCGAUGGCGAAGGCAGCCAUCUGGCCUAAUACUGACGCUGAGGUACGAAAGCAUGGGGAGCAAACAGGAUUAGAUACCCUGGUAGUCCAUGCCGUAAACGAUGUCUACUAGCCGUUGGGGCCUUUGAGGCUUUAGUGGCGCAGCUAACGCGAUAAGUAGACCGCCUGGGGAGUACGGUCGCAAGACUAAAACUCAAAUGAAUUGACGGGGGCCCGCACAAGCGGUGGAGCAUGUGGUUUAAUUCGAUGCAACGCGAAGAACCUUACCUGGUCUUGACAUACAGAGAACUUUCCAGAGAUGGAUUGGUGCCUUCGGGAACUCUGAUACAGGUGCU